CAUUUGUGUUGUUUGUGUGGUGUGCUUUAUGGGCGGCUUUUAAGUGUUUUCAGUUAAUAUCUUUUGUUAAUUGUUAAAUAUUAAACUAACGAUGCGAAGCGUUUGGGACAAAAUUACUGAUUCGGAAACACCUUAGGGAGUGCGUGUGUUGGCGCCUCGGGAAAGGGUUCGCAAAAGGUCCCCGCUGAAAGUUGGCUAGGAAAAGCUCGCUAAGUGGUUUUCCAACACGUUUUCCAUCAAGCGCACCACCCUCGCCAUCUCGCAUGUAGAUGCUGCGAACAGAAGACGCACGUCCGCUCGUCGGCUUCCUCGAAACCCACACACCCUCCACGCACAGCCUGGAAUAAAGGAAGAAAUGCGUGGGAAGGUAGGAAAUAGGAAGCCUUCCGGGAACGGGUGCAGAUGGAAAUGAAAAAACUUGAUAUUUAUAUCUUCACUAACGGCGCGGCGGACGAGCGCAAUAAAACCAUCCACCAUCUAGCAUCAAACAUAUAACAGCAUUCAACGAAUUACUUCUGAAUGUCUACUGAAGGAGAAGAAUAAACGAGUGGCAAACUGGUAACGUUGUAAACAUCUUUAUAAUCUUUUCACUCUGACGAAAUUUUGACUUUGUGAAGAAUUAAAUACUUUAAAUGAUAAUUUAAGGGAUGCACACCUGGUUUUGGGUGGUAUGGCAUAAUCUGCUUAAAAAUAUAAAUUGAUAAAUUAUGUAAAUUUAAUUUUUCAACGUUUUUUUACCGUUUUAGGGUAGUUUUUGUAUAAAUUUCAA